rnacentral:Y_RNA from 1 species
GGCUGAUCCAAAGGUAAAGAGUUAUCUCACUUGAUUGUUCACAGCCAGUUACAGGUUGAACUUUUUGUUCUACUACUUUCCCCCUUCCUCACUACCAAACUUGACAACUCUGAA